AACGAACGCUGGCGGCAUGCCUAACACAUGCAAGUCGAACGAGACCUUCGGGUCUUGUGGCGCCCGGGUUCGUCACGCGUGGGAACCUGCCCUUAGGUUCGGAAUAACUCCCCGACAGGGGUGCUAAUACCGGAUAAUGUCUUCGGACCAAAGAUUUAUUGCCUCUGGUUGGUCCAUCGUUGGAUUAGCUAGUUGGUAGGGUAAUAGCCUACCAAGGCGGCGAUGCAUAGCUGGUAUGAGAGGGUGAUCAGCCACACUGGGAGUGAGACUCGGCCCAGACUCCGGCGGUAGGACGCAGUAGAGACUCCUACGGGAGGGACGAGUGGGUAAUAGAGGAACGCGGCCGGAGUGCUGAACCAGUAAGGACGGGUGAGUGAUGAAAGCCGUAGGGAUGUAAAGCGCUUUUACCCGGGAUGAUAAUGACAGUACCGGGAGAAUAAGCCCCGGCUAACUCCGUG
rnacentral:rRNA from 1 species